rnacentral:rRNA from 1 species
CUCGUGUCGUGAGAUGUUGGGUUAAGUCCCGCAACGAGCGCAACCCUCGCCUUUAGUUGCCAGCACGUCUGGGUGGGCACUCUAAAGGAACUGCCGGUGACAAGCCGGAGGAAGGUGGGGAUGACGUCAAGUCCUCAUGGCCCUUAUGUCCUGGGCUACACACGUGCUACAAUGGCGGUGACAGUGGGAAGCCAGGCAGCGAUGCCGAGCGGAUCUCCAAAAGCCGUCUCAGUUCGGAUUGCACUCUGCAACUCGAGUGCAUGAAGGUGGAAUCGCUAGUAAUCGCGGAUCAGCAUGCCGCGGUGAAUACGUUUCCCGGGAA